GAUGAACGCUGGCGGCGUGCUUAACACAUGCAAGUCGAACGGAAAGGCCCAAGCUUGCUUGGGUACUCGAGUGGCGAACGGGUGAGUAACACGUGGGUGAUCUGCCCUGCACUUCGGGAUAAGCCUGGGAAACUGGGUCUAAUACCGGAUAGGACCACUUCUUGGAUGUUGUGGUGGAAAGUUUUUUCGGUGUGGGAUGAGCUCGCGGCCUAUCAGCUUGUUGGUGGGGUAAUGGCCUACCAAGGCGUCGACGGGUAGCCGGCCUGAGAGGGUGUACGGCCACAUUGGGACUGAGAGACGGCCCAGACGCCUACGGGAGGCAGCAGGGGGGAAUAUUGAACAAUGGGCGCAAGCCUGAUGCAGCGACGCCGCGGGGGGGAUGACGGCCUUCGGGUUGUAAACUCCUUGCGCUAGGGACGAAGCGUUUUGUGACGGUACCUGGAGAAGAAGCACCGGCUAACUACGUG
rnacentral:rRNA from 1 species